AAAAAAGUAAUUUCCUUUUCUUCUUGCUAUAAUAUUAUACAGCUAUGUCUAGUUGCAGCAAGUUUUUACUCAUCGCCAUUCUUUUAGGAUUGAUGCUCCGCACCUUCUCACUUGCUCCGAUUAAGCUAGUAUCAAGAUUAUUUCGUUAUACACAAGAUGGAGUGGAAUUUUCUUGGCAACCCCCCCCCGGAGUUAAUGGAACGAGUACCUAUAAAUGUGAAAUUAUAGAGUGCAAUGCUGGUUCAUUUUGGAGCGUAUAUAGACCCAAUCAAACCAAUGAAACCAAAUGUCAGUUUGGACCACAUGUGUUUAAUUCAAUAAUAGAUGAUAGGAGCAAGUUUAUUCGUAUCGAUGACGUUGAUAAAACGGUUUUUCCUACAAAGCUAGAGUUUCGAUUUGAAGGGAAGCAGGUUAUUGUCCAGGUGAACAAAGGAGGAAAAUACUGUUUAUCGACCAAUUUGUCAAUUCCUGCAAAUGAAUCAUUAAUGUCUCUCUGGGCAAUGACACCAGGAUCAAAUGAAGAUUGUAGUUGUUACAUACCACAAAAUUCGAAUAUGGCAAUGCCUAAAUGUCCUUGUGUGGGGCAUCGCUCAGCAGAGUUUACUGUUAAAUAUUACGGACCAAAAAAACUAAUUUGUUUUGAAAAUCUCUACCUAGUAGAGUCACUUAAAGUAUUUCUAUUCAGUGAGGUAAACAAUCUAUGCUCUCCAAACAAAAGUAGUGCUUCACAAAAGUUUCACGUUGGAACAGAAAUAAAGAAUGGAAGAAAUUCUCUACAUUCAUUUGGCAUACAAAUUCUCAUUUGUGAAAGAAAUUCAUUGAGGGAAGGACAUGAAAGGAACGAAAGGAAUGUGCUAAGCAAAAUCAUAAUUAUACUGUUACAUCUAUAAAAUGCACACCUACAUGCACCAGACAACCCAUG